rnacentral:rRNA from 1 species
GUCUGACCUGCCCACUGAAAUUUUUAAAUGGCCGCAGUAUUUUAACUGUGCAAAGGUAGCAUAAUCAUUAGUCUUUUAAUUGAAGGCUGGAAUGAAUGGUUGAAUGAAAUAUUAACUGUUUCAAUUUAAUUUAUAUAGAAUUUUAUUUUUUAGUCAAAAAGCUAAAAUUUAAUUAAAAGACGAGAAGACCCUAUAAAUCUUUAUAAUUUAUUUUUUAUAAAUUUAUAGAAAAUUUUAUUUCUAAAAAAUUAAAUUAUUUUAUUGGGGUGAUAUUAAAAUUUAAUAAACUUUUAAUUAUUAAUAAACAUUAAUUAAUGAAUUAUUGAUCCAUUAUAUUAUGAUUAAAAUAUUAAGUUACUUUAGGGAUAACAGCGUAAUUUUUUUAGAGAGUUCAUAUUGAUAAAAAAGAUUGCGACCUCGAUGUUGGAUUAAGAUACAAAUUUAGAUGCAGCAGUUUAAAUUU